rnacentral:pre_miRNA from 4 species
AUUUGGCAACGAAACCGGUUUUCGAUUUGAUUUGACUUAUUUUCACAAAGUGAGAUCAUUUUGAAAGCUGAUUUUGUCAAUGAAUACAA